UAUCUUCAGGGCGGGGCGCAAUUCCCCACCGGCGGUAAAGUCCGCGAGCGCGAAAGCGCCGAAUCGGUGAAACUCCGAUACCGACAGUAUAGUCUGGAUGGAAGAAGAU
rnacentral:ncRNA from 1 species